rnacentral:lncRNA from 1 species
GGGAAUUCCGGGGGAUUUUCCGAUGGGAUUGGCUCAGGGGAAGGGAAUUGUCCAAGGGAAUUUUCCAAUGGAAUUCCCUCACGGAAAAGGAUUUUCCAAUGGAAUUCUCUGCUGGAAUUUUCCAAUGGAAUCCCCUCACAGAAGGAAUUAUCCAAUGGAAUUUUCCAAUGGAAUUUUCCAAAGGAAUCCCCUCACUGAAGGAACUUUCCAAUGGAAUUUCCCGACGGAAUUUUCCGAUGGAAUUUUCCUACAGAAUUUUCCUCCAGAACUUUCCUCAAGGAAGGAGUUUUCCGAUGGAAUUUUCCAAAGGAGUUCCCUCACAGAAAAGGAUUUUCCAAUGGAAUUCUCUGCUGGAAUUUUCCUCAAGGAAGGAGUUUUCCGUAAGAAUUUUCCGACGGGAUUCCCUCACGAAGGAGUUUCCCAAUGGAAUUCCCUCAUGGGAAGGGAAUUUUCCAAUGGAAUUUUCCGAUGGAAUUCUCUGAUGGAGUUUUCCAAUGCAAAGAGUUUCCCGACGGAAUUUUCCGACGGAAUUUUCCGACGGAAUUUUCUGACGGAAUUUUCCUCAAGGAAGGAGUUUUCCGAUGGAAUUUUCCGACGGAAUUCCCUCAUGGAAAGGAUUUUCCAAUGGAAUUUUCCAAUGGAAUUUUCUGAUGGAAUUCCUUCACAGGAAGCGUAUUCCCAUGGAAUUCCCUGCUGGAAUUCCCGCAUGGAAAAGGAAUUUCCAGUGGAAUUUUCCAAAGGAAUUCCCUCAUGGGAAGCCUUUUCCGAUGGAAUUUUCCGAUGGAAUUUCCCAGAAAGGGAAUCCCAACGGAAUUUUCCAGUGGAAUUUUCCCCACGGGAUUCCCUCACGGAAGGAAUUUCCCAAUGGAAUUUUCCAAUGGAAUUUCCCAAUGGAAAGAGUUUCCCGAUGGAAUUUUCCUCAAGGAAGGAGUUCUCCAAUGGAAUUUCCCUGCUGGAAUUCCCUCAUGUGGAAUUUGGAAAUUGGAAUUCCGGCAAUUCCGGUUUGGAAUUGGAAAACUCUUUCCAUUGGGAAAUUCCCUUGGAAAAUUCCUUUUCCAUGUGGGAAUUCCAGCAGGAAAUUCCAUUGGGAAAUUCCUUCAAUCGGAAAAUUCCUUUGGGGAUUCCUAU